rnacentral:snoRNA from 1 species
CCACUUGAAGAUGAUGAGCUGGUUGAGUACAUCCUCACCGGCCUUGAUGAAGAAUAUGACCCGGUCGUGUCCUCCGUGAUUGGCCGGUCAGAUGCAAUCUCAGUUAGCGAGCUAUAUUCUCAGAUGCUUGCAUUUGAGA